rnacentral:rRNA from 1 species
AGAGUUUGAUCCUGGCUCAGGAUGAACGCUGGCGGCGUGCCUAACACAUGCAAGUCGAACGGAGUGUUGAGAGCUUGCUUUUAACACUUAGUGGCGGACGGGUGAGUAAUGUAUGAGCAACCUGCCUUUCAGAGGGGGACAACAGUUGGAAACGACUGCUAAUACCGCAUAACGUAUUUCGGAGGCAUCUCUGGGAUACCAAAGGAGCAAUCCGCUGAAAGAUGGGCUCAUAUCUGAUUAGCUAGUUGGUGAGGUAACGGCUCACCAAGGCUGCGAUCAGUAGCCGGACUGAGAGGUUGAGCGGCCACAUUGGGACUGAGAUACGGCCCAGACUCCUACGGGAGGCAGCAGUGGGGAAUAUUGGGCAAUGGGCGAAAGCCUGACCCAGCAACGCCGCGUGAAGGAAGAAGGUCUUCGGAUUGUAAACUUCUUUUACGAGGGACGAAGGACGUGACGGUACCUCAUGAAUAAGCCACGGCUAACUACGUGCCAGCAGCCGCGGUAAUACGUAGGUGGCAAGCGUUAUCCGGAUUUACUGGGUGUAAAGGGCGCGUAGGCGGGGAUGCAAGUCAGAUGUGAAAUCUAUGGGCUUAACCCAUAAACUGCAUUUGAAACUGUAUCUCUUGAGUGCUGGAGAGGUAGAUGGAAUUCCUUGUGUAGCGGUGAAAUGCGUAGAUAUAAGGAAGAACACCAGUGGCGAAGGCGAUCUACUGGACAGUAACUGACGCUGAGGCGCGAAAGCGUGGGGAGCAAACAGGAUUAGAUACCCUGGUAGUCCACGCUGUAAACGAUGAAUACUAGGUGUGGGGGGACUGACCCCCUCCGUGCCGCAGUUAACACAAUAAGUAUUCCACCUGGGGAGUACGGCCGCAAGGUUGAAACUCAAAGGAAUUGACGGGGGCCCGCACAAGCAGUGGAUUAUGUGGUUUAAUUCGAAGCAACGCGAAGAACCUUACCAGGGCUUGACAUCCAACUAACGAAGCAGAGAUGCAUUAGGUGCCCUUCGGGGAAAGUUGAGACAGGUGGUGCAUGGUUGUCGUCAGCUCGUGUCGUGAGAUGUUGGGUAAGUCCCGCAACGAGCGCAACCCCUAUUGUUAGUUGCUACGCAAGAGCACUCUAGCGAGACUGCCGUUGACAAAACGGAGGAAGGUGGGGACGACGUCAAAUCAUCAUGCCCCUUAUGUCCUGGGCUACACACGUAAUACAAUGGCGUCCAACAAAGGGAAGCAAAACCGCGAGGUAGAGCAAAUCCCCAAAAGACGUCUCAGUUCGGAUUGCAGGCUGCAACUCGCCUGUAUGAAGUCGGAAUUGCUAGUAAUCGUGGAUCAGCAUGCCACGGUGAAUACGUUCCCGGGCCUUGUACACACCGCCCGUCACACCAUGAGAGCCGGGAACACCCGAAGUCCGUAGUCUAACCGCAAGGAGGACGCGGCCGAAGGUGGGUUUGGUAAUUGGGGUGAAGUCGUAACAAGGUA